rnacentral:rRNA from 1 species
AUUGAACGCUGGCGGCAGGCCUAACACAUGCAAGUCGAGCGAGUGGCGGACGGGUGAGUAAUGUAUGGGGAACUGCCCGAUAGAGGGGGAUAACUACUGGAAACGGUGGCUAAUACCGCAUACUAUCGGAUGAACCCAUCUGGGAUUAGCUAGUAGGUGGGGUAACGGCUCACCUAGGCGACGAUCUCUAGCUGGUCUGAGAGGAUGAUCAGCAAAACUGGGACGGGGACACGGCCCAGACUCCUACGGGGGGAAGCAGUGGGGAAUAUUGCACAAGGGGGGAAAGCCUGAUGCAGCAAUGCCGCGUGUAUGAAGAAGGCCUUAGGGUUGUAAAGUACUUUCAGCGGGGAGGCGGUACCCGCAGAAGAAGCACCGGCUAACUCCGUGCCAGCAGCCGCGGUAAUUC